rnacentral:rRNA from 1 species
AUGUCCGCCGUUGACUCUUGGCAGUUCCGUGCCAAGCUUGCCCGCCAAUUUAUGAAGGGUUGGGGCGCGAACCUUGGCCGAGACCUCCGUGACCGCAAGAAAGCCCUCCUGAGUGCCAUCCAAGUCCUGGACGCCCAUGCUGACACCUCUGGGAUCUCUCCGGACGAGUGGAUGCUGAGAUAUGAUCUUGAGGAUCAGCUCUCGGUCAUCUACUUGGACGAGGAGGCAUAUUGGCGGCCGCGCGGCACCCAACGGUGGGUGCUCCGUGGUGACGCUAACAAGGCUUACUUCCAGGCGAUCGCCAAUGGGCGGCGACGACGGAACUCCAUCCACUCCUUGUGGGACGGCGAUACCCAGCUUGUUCGCCCCUCGGACAUCCGAGCCCACGUAGAUGGCUUCUAUAAAGUCCUUUUCUCCCCCACCCCUCGGGGUAGGGCUGCGCUGGCCCCCGAUACGUGGUCGGGUGGCCAGCUAGUUUCCGACGAGGCCAAUGCCGCCUUGGUGGCACCUUUCUCGGAGGACGAGGUCCUUGCGGCGAUCAAAGGAAUGAACCCCUCCUCGGCUCCGGGCCCGGAUGGAUUGCCAGUCACAUUUUUCAAAACUUUCUGGCAAACCAUCAAACCGAAAGUCAUGGCCCUCUUCGACGAAUUCUUCUCAGGGACCAUGGACCUUGGGCGCCUUAACUAUGGGGUCAUUACCCUCAUUCCCAAAGUCCCCGGGGCCUCGGACAUUCGCCAAUUCCGCCCGAUCACGAUGAUCAACGUGAUCUUCAGGAUCCUGGCUAAAGGGUACGCCAAUAGGGUGACCCUUCUAGCGGACUCUGUCACCCACCCUAACCAAUCCGCCUUCAUCAAGGCCGGUUUAUUUUGGAUGGGGUGUUGGUCUUCCACGAAGUCCUUCAUGAAGUCUGAACCAAGCACCAUCGUGCGGUCUUCCUAA